AUAUUGGACAAUGGGGGCCACCCUGAUUCAGCCAUGCCGCGUGUGUGCAGAAGGUCUUCGGAUUGUAAAGCACGUUAAGUUGGGAGGAAGGGUUUUAGGCUAAUACGCGGAAGUAUUGACGUUACCAACAGAAUAAUCACAGGCUAACCCUGUGCCAGCAGCCGAGGUAACACAGAGUGUUCAAGCGUUAAUCGGAAUCACUGGGCGUAAAGCACGCGUAGGUGGUUCAGUAAGAUGGGUGUGAAAUCCCCGGGCUUAACCUGGGAACUGCUUUCAUAACUGCUGAGCUAGAGUACGGUAGAGGGUAGUGGAAUUUCCUGUGUAGCGGUGAAAUGCGUAGAUAUAGGAAGGAACACCAGUGGCGAAGGCGACUACCUGGACUGAUACUGACACUGAGGUGCGAAAGCGUGGGGAGCAAACAGG
rnacentral:rRNA from 1 species